UUACGGCCAUAUCACGAUGAAACAUCGUUUCCUGUACGAUCACCGAAGUUAAGCAACACCGUGCCUGGUCAGCACCUAGAUUUAUGAUUGCUUGGUAAUACCAGGUGCUGUAAG